rnacentral:tRNA from 1 species
GCAUUUUUGGACGCUUGCCGCCAACCAAGAUUCCUGUACCGCAUUAGUCUCCGAAGGGGGUCGUGGGUUCGAAUCCCGCCGGAUGCGCCA